rnacentral:rRNA from 1 species
AUUGAACGCUGGCGGCAGGCUUAACACAUGCAAGUCGAGCGGAGUGAUGGUGCUUGCACUAUCACUUAGCGGCGGACGGGUGAGUAAUGCUUAGGAAUCUGCCUAUUAGUGGGGGACAACAUCUCGAGAGGGAUGCUAAUACCGCAUACGUCCUACGGGAGAAAGCAGGGGAUCACUCGUUACCUUGCGCUAAUAGAUGAGCCUAAGUCGGAUUAGCUAGUUGGUGGGGUAAAGGCCUACCAAGGAGACGAUCUGUAGCGGGUCUGAGAGGAUGAUCCGCCACACUGGGACUGAGACACGGCCCAGACUCCUACGGGAGGCAGCAGUGGGGAAUAUUGGACAAUGGGGGGAACCCUGAUCCUGCCAUGCCGCGUGUGUGAAGAAGGCCUUAUGGUUGUAAAGCACUUUAAGCGAGGAGGAGGCUCUUUUGGUUAAUACCCAAGAUGAGUGGACGUUACUCGCAGAAUAAGCACCGGCUAACUCUGUGCCAGCCGCCGCCGUAA